GCCUGGCUGGCUCAGUUGGAAGAGCAUGUGACUCUUAAUCUGGGGGUCGUGAGUUCGAGCCUCAUGUUGGGUG
rnacentral:tRNA from 2 species